rnacentral:rRNA from 1 species
UACGUAGGGUGCGAGCGUCAAUCUGAAUUACUGGGCGUAAAGCGUGCGCAGGCGGUUUUGUAAGUCAGAUGUGAAAUCCCCGGGCUUAACCUUGGAACUGCGUUUGAAACUACAAGGCUAGAGUGUGGCAGAGGGGGGUGGAAUUCCACGUGUAGCAGUGAAAUGCGUAGAGAUGUGGAGGAACACCGAUGGCGAAGGCAGCCCCCUGGGCUGACACUGACGCUCAGGCACGAAAGCGUGGGGAGCAAACAGG